GACGAACGCUGGCGGCGUGCUUAACACAUGCAAGUCGAGCGGAAAGGCCCUUCGGGGUCCUCGAGCGGCGAACGGGUGAGUAACACGUGAGUAACCUGCCCCAGACUUUGGGAUAACCCUCGGAAACGGGGGCUAAUACCGGAUACGACACAGCUUCGCAUGGGGUCUGUGUGGAAAGUUUUUCGGUUUGGGAUGGGCUCGCGGCCUAUCAGCUUGUUGGUGGGGUGAUGGCCUACCAAGGCGACGACGGGUAGCCGGCCUGAGAGGGCGACCGGCCACACUGGGACUGAGACACGGCCCAGACUCCUACGGGAGGCAGCAGUGGGGAAUAUUGCACAAUGGGCGGAAGCCUGAUGCAGCGACGCCGGGUGAGGGAUGACGGCCUUCGGGUUGUAAACCUCUUUCAGCAGGGACGAAGCGUAAGUGACGGUACCUGCAGAAGAAGCGCCGGCCAACUACGUG
rnacentral:rRNA from 1 species